GACGAACGCUGGCGGCGUGCCUAAUACAUGCAAGUCGAGCGAAUCACUGGGAGCUUGCUCCCGGUGGUUAGCGGCGGACGGGUGAGUAACACGUGGGCAACCUGCCUGUAAGACUGGGAUAACACCGGGAAACCGGUGCUAAUACCGGAUAAUUCUUUUCUGCACAUGCAGGAAAGCUGAAAGUCGGUUUCGGCUGACACUUACAGAUGGGCCCGCGGCGCAUUAGCUAGUUGGUGAGGUAACGGCUCACCAAGGCGACGAUGCGUAGCCGACCUGAGAGGGUGAGCGGCCACACUGGGACUGAGACACGGCCCAGACUCCUACGGGAGGCAGCAGUAGGGAAUCUUCCACAAUGGACGAAAGUCUGAUGGAGCAACGCCGCGUGAGCGAUGAAGGCCUUCGGGUCGUAAAGCUCUGUUGUUAGGGAAGAACAAGUACCGGAGUAACUGCCGGUACCUUGACGGUACCUAACCAGAAAGCCACGGCUAACUACGUGCCAGCAGCCGCCGUAA
rnacentral:rRNA from 1 species